AGCGGCGGACGGGUGAGUAACGCGUGGGUAACCUGCCCUGUACACACGGAUAACAUACCGAAAGGUAUGCUAAUACGAGAUAAUAUGCUUUUGUCGCAUGGUAGAAGUAUCAAAGCUUUUGCGGUACAGGAUGGACCCGCGUCUGAUUAGCUAGUUGGUAAGGUGACGGCUUACCAAGGCGACGAUCAGUAGCCGACCUGAGAGGGUGAUCGGCCACAUUGGAACUGAGACACGGUCCAAACUCCUACGGGAGGCAGCAGUGGGGAAUAUUGCACAAUGGGCGAAAGCCUGAUGCAGCAACGCCGCGUGAGCGAUGAAGGCCUUCGGGUCGUAAAGCUCUGUCCUCAAGGAAGAUAAUGACGGUACUUGAGGAGGAAGCCCCGGCUAACUACGUGCCAGUAGCCGCGGUAAUACGUAGGGGGCUAGCGUUAUCCGGAAUUACUGGGCGUAAAGGGUGCGUAGGUGGUUUCUUAAGUCAGAGGUGAAAGGCUACGGCUCAACCGUAGUAAGCCUUUGAAACUGGGAAACUUGAGUGCAGGAGAGGAGAGUGGAAUUCCUAGUGUAGCGGUGAAAUGCGUAGAUAUUAGGAGGAACACCAGUUGCGAAGGCGGCUCUCUGGACUGUAACUGACACUGAGGCACGAAAGCGUGGGGAGCAAACAGGAUUAGAUACCCUGGUAGUCCACGCCGUAAACGAUGAGUACUAGCUGU
rnacentral:rRNA from 1 species